UACGGGGGGAGCAAGCGUUGUUCGGAUUUACUGGGCGUAAAGGGCGCGUAGGCGGCGCAACAAGUCACUUGUGAAAUCUCCGGGCUUAACCCGGAGCGGUCAAGUGAUACUGUCGUGCUAGAGUGCGGAAGGGGCUACUGGAAUUCUCGGUGUAGCGGUGAAAUGCGUAGAUAUCGAGAGGAACACCAGAGGUGAAGACGGGUUGCUGGGCUGACACUGACGCUGAGGCGCGAAAGCCAGGGGAGCAAACGGG
rnacentral:rRNA from 1 species